rnacentral:tRNA from 1 species
GGGGAUAUAACUCAGUUGGUAGAGUGUGUGCUUUGCAAGCAUGAGGUUAAGAGUUCGAGUCUCUUUAUCUCCU